GGGGGAAAAAUUAAUAAUUAUUUAUUUAAUAAAAUAAAUUUUAAAAUAAAAAUAUUUAGGGGGGUUUAAGUAUUUUUAAUAGAAAAAAUUUAUAAAUUUAAAGUAAAGGAGUAUUGUGAAAGAAAUUUGAAAUAAAAAUGAAAAUAUAAUUUAAAAUAAAGUAAUUUUAAUUUAGUGUAUCUUGUGUAUCAGAGUUUAUUAAUAAAAUUUUUUAGGAAAAAAUUUCUCGAAUUAAAAAGAGUUAAUUAAUUAACAAAAUUAUUGUUAUAUAAAUAUUUUUAAUAAUUAAUUUGAAAUGAAAAGUUAUUCGUUUUUUAAUAUAUCUAGUUUUUUUAGAAAAAAAUUUAAUUUUAAAUUAUUUUAUAAAAUAAAUUAAUUAUUUAAUUAUUUUAAAAUUUAAUUAAAUAUUUUAAGGGAUAAGCUUUAAAUUAAAAUUUUAUAAAUAAAAAUAAAUUAAAAUAAAAAUUUUAUAAUUUAUAUUGUUAAAAAAUUUUAGUUUAUUAUAAAUAAUUUUAUUGUAAGAAAAAUUUAAUUUAUUUUAAUUUUUUAUAAAAAUAUAAUUUUUAAUAUUAAAAAUUUAGUAAUAAUGAUAAAAUUAGUAUAUUAUUUUAUUAUAAAAUAUGAGAAUAAUUAUAAUUAAAUAAAAAGAAUUCGGCAAAAAAUUAUAUUCACCUGUUUAUCAAAAACAUGUCUUUUUGAAAAUUAUUUAAAGUCUAAUCUGCCCACUGAUAAUAUAUUAAAGGGCUGCAGUAUAUUGACUGUACAAAGGUAGCAUAAUCAAUAGUCUCUUAAUUAGUGACUUGUAUGAAUGAUUGGAUGAAAUAUAAACUGUUUCUUAUUUAAUAAUUGAAUUUAAUUUUUUAGUUAAAAAGCUAAAAUAAAUUUAAAAGACGAGAAGACCCUAUAGAGUUUUAUAAAAUUAAUAAUUUUUUUUUAUUAUUAGUUUUAUAUUAAAAUUAAUAAAUUUUAUUUUAUUGGGGUGAUAAAAAAAUUAAUUAAACUUUUUUAAAAUAUAAACAUAGAUAAAUGAGUUAAAUGAUCCAUAAUUUUUGAUUAAAAGAAAAAAUUACCUUAGGGAUAACAGCGUAAUUUUUUUUUUUAGUUCAAAUAAUAAAAAAAGUUUGCGACCUCGAUGUUGGAUUAAGAUAAAAUUUAAAUGCAAAAGUUUAAAAUUUUGAUCUGUUCGAUCAUUAAAAUCUUACAUGAUCUGAGUUCAAACCGGUGUGAGCCAGGUUGGUUUCUAUCUUUAAAAAAUUAAAAUAUUUUAGUACGAAAGGAUCAAAUAUUUAAAAUAAUUUUAAUAAAAGAAUAUUAUUAAUUAUUAUUUUAAAAUUAAAAAAAUUUUUUUUUU
rnacentral:rRNA from 1 species